GUGGGGUUGUGGCUUAGGGGUAGAGCGCUUGCCUAGCACGUGCGAGGCCCUGGGUUUGAUCCUCAACACCACA
rnacentral:tRNA from 1 species